AUUGAACGCUGACGGCAGGCCUAACACAUGCAAGUCGAGCGGAGCGGCGGACGGGUGAGUAAUGCCUAGGAAUCUGCCUGGUAGUGGGGGAUAACGUCCGGACCCGGGCGCUAUUACCGCAUCCUAUCAGAUGAGCCUAGGUCGGAUUAGCUAGUUGGUGGGGCAAAGGCCUACCAAGGCGACGAUCCCUAGCUGGUCUGAGAGGAUGAUCAGUCACACUGGAACUGAGACACGGUCCAGACUCCGACGGGAGGCAGCAGUGGGGAAUAGUGGGCAAGGGGCGAAAGCCUGAUCGAGCCAUGCCGCGUGUGUGAAGAAGGUCUUCGGAUUGUAAAGCACUUUAGGUUGGGAGGCGUUACCAACAGAAGAAGCACCGGCUAACUUCGUGCCAGCAGCCGCGGUAAUUC
rnacentral:rRNA from 1 species